rnacentral:sRNA from 1 species
GUAAUAGUUUCAAUCAUUGUCACCGCUUUUUUUUCAGAAUCACUAAUGAUGCCAGGGAAGAUGAGAUGGAACAGAAUAUUGGCGAAGUGGCUGGCAUGGUCAGUAACCUCCGCAACAUGGCGGUGGACAUGGGUAAUGAGAUUGAAUCCCAGAACAAACAGUUAGAUCGCAUUAACAUGAAGGGCAUGUCUAAUGAAGUUCGCAUCACUGCUGCUAACCAGAGGGCAACCAAACUACUUAAGGAGGCAUAAAAAAUCAUAAAAAAAA